CGCCCUUAGAGUUUGAUCAUGGCUCAGAUUGAACGCUGGCGGCAGGCUUAACACAUGCAAGUCGAACGGUAUAGGUGCUUGCACCUGACGAGUGGCGGACGGGUGAGUAAUGUAUGGGGAUCUGCCGAAUGGAUUGGGACAACCACUGGAAACGGUGGCUAAUACCGAAUAAUGUUGAGAGACCAAAGUGUUUCGACAUGCCAUUUGAUGAACCCAUAUGGGAUUAGCUAGUAGGCGGGGUAAUGGCCCACCUAGGCGACGAUCUCUAGCUGGUCUGAGAGGAUGACCAGCCACACUGGGACUGAGACACGGCCCAGACUCCUACGGGAGGCAGCAGUGGGGAAUAUUGCACAAUGGGGGAAACCCUGAUGCAGCCAUGCCGCGUGUAUGAAGAAGGCCUUCGGGUUGUAAAGUACUUUCGGUAGUGAGGAAGGUUACUAUUAACAUAGUAAAUUGACGUUAAUUACAGAAGAAGCACCGGCUAACUCCGUGCCAGCAGCCGCGGUAAUACGGAGGGUGCGAGCGUUAAUCGGAAUGACUGGGCGUAAAGGGCAUGUAGGUGGAUAAUUAAGUU
rnacentral:rRNA from 1 species